GUAGUCCUUGCCCUAAACGAUGUAUACUUGGUGUAGUUAGGCUCAACCCUGACUGUACCGAAGCCAACGCGAUAAGUAUACCGCCUGGGGAGUACGCUCGCAAGGGUAAAACUCAAAAGAAUUGACGGGGACCCGCACAAGCAGUGGAGUAUGUGGUUUAAUUCGAUGCAACGCGAAGAACCUUACCUGGACUUGACAUGUAUGUGACAGCUUCAGAAAUGAAGUCUUCUCGCAAGAGACAGAUACACAGGUGCUGCAUGGCUGUCGUCAGCUCGUGCCGUGAGGUGUUGGGUUAAGUCCCGCAACGAGCGCAACCCUUGUCGUUAGUUGCCAGCACGUAAUGGUGGGCACUCUAGCGAGACUGCCUCGGUUAACGGGGA
rnacentral:rRNA from 1 species